rnacentral:lncRNA from 1 species
GGUGGUUGCAGAGUUUGGAGCCAUUUUGGGUAGCUGAUCUUGCAUUUUCUACGACUCUUCUUGGUCAUUUUCUAGAAGACAUGGAAGCAUAUGCUGAGGACCUCAGCCAUGUGGCCUCUGGGGAAUCAGUGGAUGAAGACGUCCCUCCUCCAUCAGUGUCAUUACCAAAGCUGACUGCGCUUCUCCGGGUAUUUAGUACUGUGGUGAGGAGCAUUGGGGAACGCUUCAGCCCAAUUCGGGUCCUCCGAUUACUGAGGCAUACGUAACAGAUGUAAGUGCUUUUGGAUUCUGUACAGAGUAAUGAGAUGUGUGACGGCUGCAAACCAGGUGUUUUUUUCUGAGGCUGUGUUGACAGCUGCUAAUGAGUGUGUUGGUGUUUUGCUCGGCAGCUUGGAUCCUAGCAUGACUAUACAUUGUGACAUGGUCAUUACAUAUGGAUUAGACCAACUGGAGAAUUGCCAGACUUGUGGUACCGAUUAUAUCAUCUCAGUCUUGAAUUUACUCAUGCUGGUAUGUGAAUUAUUCUUUUCCUUUUUAAUGAAACUGUUAAUGACUUGGGCUUUGGAAGUAGCUGUUUUAAUGAAGAAGUCCGAAACAUAUGCACCUUUAUUCUGUCUUCCGUCUUUCCAUAAAUUUUGCAAAGGCCUUUUAGCCAACAGCAUGCAGCAGUCUACACGCUCUGUCCUCUUCCUUGCCAGAUGAUCUUUUACAGAGAUGUGUUGAUGUUUGCCGUGUUCAACUAGUGCACCGUGGAACUCGUAUUCGACAAGCAUUUGGAAAACUGUUGAAAUCAAUUCCUUUAGAUGUUGUCCUAAGGUAUAACAGUUCAAUAACAAUCACACAGAAAUUCAAGAAAUUUCUUUAGCAUUAAGAAGUCACAUGAGUAAAGCACCAAGUAAUACAUUCCACCCCCAAGAUUUCUCUGAUGUUAUUAGUUUUAUUUUGUAUGGGAACUCUCAUAGAACAGGGUAAGGACAAUUGGUUGGAAAGACUGUUCUAUAGCUGCCAGAGACUGGAUAAGUGUGACCAGUCAACAAUUCCACGCAAUCUCCUGAAGACAGAUGCUAUCUUUUGGCAGUGGGCCAUAUGGGAAGCUGCACAAUUCACUGUUCUUUCUAAGCUGAGAACCCCACUGGGCAGAGCUCAAGACACCUUCCAGACAAUUGAAGGUAUCAUUCGAAGUCUCGCAGCUCACACAUUAAACCCUGAUCAGGAUGUUAGUCAGUGGACAACUGCAGACAAUGAUGAAGGCCAUGGUAACAACCAACUUAGACUUGUUCUUCUUCUGCAGUAUCUGGAAAAUCUGGAGAAAUUAAUGUAUAAUGUAUAUGAGGGAUGUGCUAAUGCAUUAACUUCACCUCCCAAGGUUGGUCAUUAGAGCUUUUUUCUAUACCAGUUGCCAAACUUGUCAGGACUGGCUAACGCGGAUUCGACUCUCCAUCAUGAGGGUAGGAUUGUUGGCAGGCCAGCCUGCAGUGACAGUGAGACAUGGCUUUGACUUGCUUACAGAGAUGAAAACAACCAGCCUAUCUCAGGGGAAUGAAUUGGAAAUAACCAUUAUGAUGGUGGUAGAAGCACUAUGUGAACUUCAUUGUCCUGAAGCUAUACAGGGAAUUGCUGUCUGGUCAUCAUCUAUUGUUGGAAAAAAUCUUCUGUGGAUUAACUCAGUGGCUCAACAGGCUGAAGGGAGGUAGGUUUGAAAAGGCCUCUGUGGAGUACCAGGAGCACCUGUGUGCCAUGACAGGUGUUGAUUGCUGCAUCUCCAGCUUUGACAAAUUGGUGCUCACCUUAGCCAAUGCUGGGUGUAACAGUGCCAGCCCGAAACAUUGUCUGAAUGGUGAGCGUUCAAAAAACUGUGCUGUCCAAACCGACUGACUCUUCCCCUGAGGUUAUAAAUUAUUUAGGAAAUAAAGCAUGUGUGAGUGCUACAUCUCAAUUGCCGAUUGCGCUGCUGUGCAGGAAUGGCAGAAUGCUAUCCAUGACUUGAAAAAGAGUACCAGUAGCACUUCCCUCAACCUGAAAGCUGAAUUCAACUAUAUAAAGUAAGGCUUUCUGUUUCCACUAACCAAUAUUUUAAUUACAGAUCAUUAAGCAGCUUCGAGUCUGGAAAAUUUGUUGAAUGUACUGAGCAAUUAGAAUUGUUACCAGGAGAAAAUAUCAAUCUACUUGCUGGAGGAUCAAAAGAAAAAAUAGGUAGACAUGAAAAACCUGCUUCGUAACAUGUUAAGUCCAGAUCCAAGGGAACCUCAGAAAUCCAUUGAAGUUCAAUUGUUAAGAAGUUCUGUUUGUUUGGCAACUGCUUUAAACCCGAUAGAACAAGAUCAGAAGUGGCAGUCUAUAACUGAGUAAAAAUGUGGUAAAGUACUUGAAGCAAACAUCCCGCAUCGCUGUUGGACCUCUGAGACUUUCUACUUUAACAGUUUCACAGUCUUUGCCAGUUCUAAGUACCUUGCAGCUGUAUUGCUCACCUGCUUUGGAGAACACAGUUUCUAACAGACUUUAAACAGAGGACUGUCUUAUUCCACUCUUCGGUGAAGCUUUACGUUCAUGUAAACAGCAUGAUGUGAGGCCAUGGAUGCAGGCAGUAAGGUAUACUAUGUACCAGAAUCAGUUGUUGGAGAAAAAUUAAAG